GACGAACGCUGGCGGCGUGCUUAACACAUGCAAGUCGUACGGUAAGGCCCUUUCGGGGGUACACGAGUGGCGAACGGGUGAGUAACACGUGAGUAACCUGCCCACAACUUUGGGAUAACGCUAGGAAACUGGUGCUAAUACUGGAUAUGUGCUCCUGCUGCACGGUGGGGGUUGGAAAGCUCCGGCGGUUGUGGAUGGACUCGCGGCCUAUCAGCUUGUUGGUGGGGUAGUGGCCUACCAAGGCGGCGACGGGUAGCCGGCCUGAGAGGGUGACCGGCCACAUUGGGACUGAGAUACGGCCCAGACUCCUACGGGAGGCAGCAGUGGGGAAUAUUGCACAAUGGGCGCAAGCCUGACGCAGCAACGCCGCGUGCGGGAUGACGGCCUUCGGGUUGUAAACCGAUUUCAGCAGGGACGAAGCUUUUUGUGACGGUACCUGCAGAAGAAGCACCGGCUAACUACGUG
rnacentral:rRNA from 1 species